rnacentral:rRNA from 1 species
CUAUACAUGCAGUCGAGCGACAGACAGAGGAGCUUGCUCCUUUGACGUUAGCGGCGGACGGGUGAGUAACACGUGGGUAACCUACCUAUAAGACUGGGAUAACUUCGGGAAACCGGAGCUAAUACCGGAUAAUAUUUCGAACCGCAUGGUUCGAUAGUGAAAGAUGGUUUUGCUAUCACUUAUAGAUGGACCCGCGCCGUAUUAGCUAGUUGGUAAGGUAACGGCUUACCAAGGCGACGAUACGUAGCCGACCUGAGAGGGUGAUCGGCCACACUGGAACUGAGACACGGUCCAGACUCCUACGGGAGGCAGCAGUAGGGAAUCUUCCGCAAUGGGCGAAAGCCUGACGGAGCAACGCCGCGUGAGUGAUGAAGGUCUUCGGAUCGUAAAACUCUGUUAUUAGGGAAGAACAUACGUGUAAGUAACUAUGCACGUCUUGACGGUACCUAAUCAGAAAGCCACGGCUAACUACGUGCCAGCAGCCGCCCGGGUAAUAAA